CAGUAGCCACGGUAAUACGUAGGUGGCAAGCGUUGUCCGGAAUUAUUGGGCGUAAAGGGCUCGCAGGCGGUUUCUUAAGUCUGAUGUGAAAGCCCCCGGCUCAACCGGGGAGGGUCAUUGGAAACUGGGAAACUUGAGUGCAGAAGAGGAGAGUGGAAUUCCACGUGCAGCGGUGAAAUGCGUAGAGAUGUGGAGGAACACCAGUGGUGAAGGCGACUCUCUGGUCUGUAACUGACGCUGAGGAGCGAAAGCGUGGGGAGCGAACAGGAUUAGAUACCCCCGUAGUCCCUGUCUCUUAUAC
rnacentral:rRNA from 1 species